AUUGAACGCUGGCGGCAUGCCUUACACAUGCAAGUCGAACGGCAGCACGGGCGCUUGCACCUGGUGGCGAGUGGCGAACGGGUGAGUAAUACAUCGGAACGUACCUUAUCGUGGGGGAUAACGCAGCGAAAGCUGUGCUAAUACCGCAUACGCCCUGAGGGGGAAAGCGGGGGAUCGCAAGACCUCGCGCGAUUAGAGCGGCCGAUGCCUGAUUAGCUUGUUGGUGGGGUAAAAGCCCACCAAGGCGACGAUCAGUAGCUGGUCUGAGAGGACGAUCAGCCACACUGGGAGUGAGACACGGCCCAGACUCCUACGGGAGGCAGCAGUGGGGAAUUUUGGACAAUGGGGGCAACCCUGAUCCAGCAAUGCCGCGUGAGUGAAGAAGGCCUUCGGGUUGUAAAGCUCUUUUGUCAGGGAAGAAACACCGGCUCUAACACAGUCCGGGAAUGACGGUACCUGAAGAAUAAGCACCGGCUAACUACGUGCCAGCAGCCGCCGUAA
rnacentral:rRNA from 1 species